CCUGAAAAUUUAUAAAGCCAUGUAAGUGGCAAUACCUAAGCAUUCCGUUUCUAAUCAAUUGAGUGAAUUCCCCAAAAUGGGUAGUGUCCAGCCUUUGAAACAUCAAUCACAUAUAAAGAACUAAAGCAUCACAAGACUGACUUGUCCGGGGCAAAAGAAUAAGCCAAAGCUUGUUCAUAAUUGAAGCCACAAGGAAAAGGAGAUAAAUACCACAACAGUAUCAAGAGCCUCUUAUCUUCACAGGAAAACAAAGUAAAGAAGUGGAAUACAAGUCAAACCUGAAGCAUGGCAGCAUUUAUACUGAUCUCAGCAUCCACAGCCACAAGAGUUACAAGAAGAAUUGUUCCAGUUCCCUGUCCUUUGACUUUUCCUCCUGAAGUGUCCCUUUCCUCAACCAUGGCCCUGAACUCUUUUGAACUGUUCAAUGUAUGCUCACUUAGAUACUCAAUUGCUUCUUGACCAAAAUCCUCCUCCAAGCUUGGAACCUUCAUGUAUGCCAGGCUACAUAGUUGAGCAAGACCAGGCGCAGAGGAUACAGAAGUAUCAACAGGCCGUAACUGACUGUAUGCAACAAACUCUUGAUUCCCAUAAUCAACAUAGAAAACUUCAAACUUGUCUUUUGGGGAUUCCACGGCACCUCGAGGUGCACUGACAAUCUGUAUAGAUCAAAAGGAAGAAAUUAAGAACAAAUAAAAGCAUGUAAAUUGUACCCUUGUGUAUGUUUCUGCAGAAAGGAAAAAGGAACUGAAGAACGAGAUGAGGAAAGGUAAAUGAAAGAGUUAAGACGGUCCCCAACAAGUUGUAUUCUAAAUUUCUUCUAUUCUACCAUUCCUAUUCUCAACAAUAGGCUCAUAUCUCUUUGACUUGAUGUUAAUUCUACUUUAACCUUUCUGACGAUUAAUGAGCAAAAAUCACCCUUCUCCCAUAACACAAAGACCCUUAUAUUUCAAAAGGUAAUUUGUGUGCCAAUGAAACACAUGAAAUCCUAUUGCCAAUUAAUACCGAGAAAAAGAGAAAAAAAUGUUAGAAGAGAUUAUAUAUAGCAGCACUUUUGCCCCAACCCUCCUGUGUUUUGCCCCUUAGGAUUCACUUGUGCUUUUAUUUCUGAAGAUUUGCUUACUGAGGAACCCCAAGGGGUUGGCCCAAGUGGUACAGGCCUUGGUCUUGGGAUAUCACUCCCCUCAAAGGUCCAAGGUUCAAUACCUCAUGGAUGUAAACAAUCAUAUAGGGCCACACUCCUUAGUGAAAAGCUAGCGAUUUAACUAGUUCCAUGUAGGGAAACUUCCGAGGGUGCGGUGCAUAGGACCAGGGUUUACUCUGCAGGGAUAGGUCUGUAGGGCCUUGCCUUGGAGAGGUUCCCCGAUUAAAAAAAAAAAAAGAUUUGCUUACUGUGGUUCUGUCCUUAUAAAUUU